CGACGCUACCGGCUACGGAAGAGACACCAACGGCCGGUCCUAUGUGGCUCAGUGGGUAGAGCGUAGCGCUUGUAACCCCAUGGAAGCGGGUUCGGUCCCCGAGGCUGCCCACGUAAAAUGUAUGCAAGCAUGACAAACCAAGCAAACUGCUCGCAAAUCCACCCGUGGCAAAGCCUACAGGAUGCAGCUCGCCGCCAAGGCCCAACUGCUAAGGGCCUCUACACUUUCUGUGCCACGU